rnacentral:rRNA from 1 species
GCGCCUUGCACACGAAGUUGGGCCCUCGCUACAACCCUUUGGGUUUUCGGUGCCAAGAUAAUGUCCCCUGGGACAAAAAGGGGGGCUUUUUUUUUUAAGUGUCGGAGGGAGAUUUUUAAGAUUUGUGAACCUCGAAUUUCUGGGAAGCCUUUUUCCAAGGAGGUUUUCAUUAGUCAGGAAGUAAAGUUAGGGGCUGGAAGUUGUUCAGAUACAUAAGAAGUCCUCCCCCUAAAAAAAUUUUGACCAGAGUUGGGAGGUAAUCAGUUUUUAAAGAUUCCUUCAGCACAUUGAAAGAAGAAAACCUCUUUGGGUUCUGGGGGGAGUAUGGUUGCAAGGCUGAAACUUAAAGGAAUUGACGGAAGGUCAAGACCAGGGGUGCACCUGCGGUUUAAUUGGCCUCUUCUUUUUUAAACCCACCUAAUCCAGCCAAAGGACGGAUUGACAAGGUAAAUCGCUCCUAAAAAGAUUCAUGGGGGUU